CCUGAGGGCAGACCUUGUUAAGAAGGAGAGAGGCAGUUCUUUCUCCCCUCCCCCCACCGAAGGGGGUACACGGGGAUUUCCGCCCUCCCCCCUCAUGUCUGUACUGUGGGAGUCUGGCCAAUGUCCUGGAGGUGCUGGUUCCUGUAACAGUUUCUACCCCUGAUUCUUCUUUCAGGUGUCUUUAAAGUUUGCUUUGGCGAAAGCGACAGUAGCAAACAUGAGGGAG